GGGUUGUGAGGUUAAGCGACUAAGCGUACACGGUGGAUGCCCUGGCAGUCAGAGGCGAUGAAGGGCGUGCUAAUCUGCGAUAAGCGCCGGUAAGGUGAUAUGAACCGUUAUAACCGGCGAUACCCGAAUGGGGAAACCCAGUGUGAUUCGUCACACUAUCAUUAACUGAAUCCAUAGGUUAAUGAGGCGAACCGGGGGAACUGAAACAUCUAAGUACCCCGAGGAAAAGAAAUCAACCGAGAUUCCCCCAGUAGCGGCGAGCGAACGGGGAGGAGCCCAGAGCCUGAAUCAGCAUGUGUGUUAGUGGAAGCGUCUGGAAAGGCGCGCGAUACAGGGUGACAGCCCCGUACACAAAAGCGCAUGUGCUGUGAGCUCGAUGAGUAGGGCGGGACACGUGGUAUCCUGUCUGAAUAUGGGGGGACCAUCCUCCAAGGCUAAAUACUCCUGACUGACCGAUAGUGAACCAGUACCGUGAGGGAAAGGCGAAAAGAACCCCGGCGAGGGGAGUGAAAAAGAACCUGAAACCGUGUACGUACAAGCAGUGGGAGCACAGGUUUACCUGUGUGACUGCGUACCUUUUGUAUAAUGGGUCAGCGACUUAUAUUCUGUAGCAAGGUUAACCGUAUAGGGGAGCCGGAGGGAAACCGAGUCUUAAUUGGGCGUUAAGUUGCAGGGUAUAGACCCGAAACCCGGUGAUCUAGCCAUGGGCAGGUUGAAGGUUGGGUAACACUAACUGGAGGACCGAACCGACUAAUGUUGAAAAAUUAGCGGAUGACCUGUGGCUGGGGGUGAAAGGCCAAUCAAACCGGGAGAUAGCUGGUUCUCCCCGAAAGCUAUUUAGGUAGCGCCUCGUGAAUUCAUCUCCGGGGGUAGAGCACUGUUUCGGCUAGGGGGCCAUCCCGGCUUACCAACCCGAUGCAAACUGCGAAUACCGGAGAAUGUUAUCACGGGAGACACACGGCGGGUGCUAACGUCCGUCGUGAAGAGGGAAACAACCCAGACCGCCAGCUAAGGUCCCAAAGUCAUGGUUAAGUGGGAAACGAUGUGGGAAGGCCCAGACAGCCAGGAUGUUGGCUUAGAAGCAGCCAUCAUUUAAAGAAAGCGUAAUAGCUCACUGGUCGAGUCGGCCUGCGCGGAAGAUGUAACGGGGCUAAACCAUGCACCGAAGCUGCGGCAGCGACGCUGAUGCGUUGUUGGGUAGGGGAGCGUUCUGUAAGCCUGCGAAGGUGGCCUGUGAGGGUUGCUGGAGGUAUCAGAAGUGCGAAUGCUGACAUAAGUAACGAUAAAGCGGGUGAAAAGCCCGCUCGCCGGAAGACCAAGGGUUCCUGUCCAACGUUAAUCGGGGCAGGGUGAGUCGACCCCUAAGGCGAGGCCGAAAGGCGUAGUCGAUGGGAAACGGGUUAAUAUUCCCGUACUUGGUGUUACUGCGAAGGGGGGACGGAGAAGGCUAUGUUGGCCGGGCGACGGUUGUCCCGGUUUAAGCGUGUAGGUGUGUGUUCCAGGUAAAUCCGGUUCACUUUAACACUGAGGCGUGACGACGAGGCACUACGGUGCUGAAGCAACAAAUGCCCUGCUUCCAGGAAAAGCCUCUAAGCAUCAGGUAACACGAAAUCGUACCCCAAACCGACACAGGUGGUCAGGUAGAGAAUACCAAGGCGCUUGAGAGAACUCGGGUGAAGGAACUAGGCAAAAUGGUGCCGUAACUUCGGGAGAAGGCACGCUGACACGUAGGUGAAGUGAUUUACUCAUGGAGCUGAAGUCAGUCGAAGAUACCAGCUGGCUGCAACUGUUUAUUAAAAACACAGCACUGUGCAAACACGAAAGUGGACGUAUACGGUGUGACGCCUGCCCGGUGCCGGAAGGUUAAUUGAUGGGGUCAGCGCAAGCGAAGCUCCUGAUCGAAGCCCCGGUAAACGGCGGCCGUAACUAUAACGGUCCUAAGGUAGCGAAAUUCCUUGUCGGGUAAGUUCCGACCUGCACGAAUGGCGUAAUGAUGGCCAGGCUGUCUCCACCCGAGACUCAGUGAAAUUGAACUCGCUGUGAAGAUGCAGUGUACCCGCGGCAAGACGGAAAGACCCCGUGAACCUUUACUAUAGCUUGACACUGAACAUUGAGCCUUGAUGUGUAGGAUAGGUGGGAGGCUUUGAAGUGUGGACGCCAGUCUGCAUGGAGCCGACCUUGAAAUACCACCCUUUAAUGUUUGAUGUUCUAACGUGGACCCGUUACCCGGGUUGCGGACAGUGUCUGGUGGGUAGUUUGACUGGGGCGGUCUCCUCCUAAAGAGUAACGGAGGAGCACGAAGGUUGGCUAAUCCUGGUCGGACAUCAGGAGGUUAGUGCAAUGGCAUAAGCCAGCUUGACUGCGAGCGUGACGGCGCGAGCAGGUGCGAAAGCAGGUCAUAGUGAUCCGGUGGUUCUGAAUGGAAGGGCCAUCGCUCAACGGAUAAAAGGUACUCCGGGGAUAACAGGCUGAUACCGCCCAAGAGUUCAUAUCGACGGCGGUGUUUGGCACCUCGAUGUCGGCUCAUCACAUCCUGGGGCUGAAGUAGGUCCCAAGGGUAUGGCUGUUCGCCAUUUAAAGUGGUACGCGAGCUGGGUUUAGAACGUCGUGAGACAGUUCGGUCCCUAUCUGCCGUGGGCGCUGGAGAACUGAGGGGGGCUGCUCCUAGUACGAGAGGACCGGAGUGGACGCAUCACUGGUGUUCGGGUUGUCAUGCCAAUGGCACUGCCCGGUAGCUAAAUGCGGAAGAGAUAAGUGCUGAAAGCAUCUAAGCACGAAACUUGCCCCGAGAUGAGUUCUCCCUGAGACUUAGAGUCUCCUGAAGGAACGUUGAAGACGACGACGUUGAUAGGCCGGGUGUGUAAGCGCAGCGAUGCGUUGAGCUAACCGGUACUAAUGAACCGUGAGGCUUAACCUUACAACGCCGAAG
rnacentral:rRNA from 1 species